rnacentral:ribozyme from 15 species
AAAAAAAAAAAAAAAAAAAAAAAAAAAGAGAAAAAGCGAGUAUCAGAGAACGAAUUCAGACGAAAACAAGAAGAUUUGCACUUGUUUUACUUUUCCAUGAUAAUUGUGUAAACAUUACAGCUCGUAUCUUAUUCCUCGGGUGCGGGGAGUUGGAAGUUCAGAAAAAGAGAAAGGGAGAAAAAUCACGCCAAUAUGAAAAAAAAAAAAAAAAUC